UGAGAACUUCCCUUUCACCCUGCUGAUAGCUCCCUACUGAAACACAGUUGGGCACCUACAACCUCAGAACUGCCUCCCAGCCCAGCAGGGCCUCGGGGCCUUGGCAUCCACCCCAGGGAUCACCCCGAUUCACCCUUCUCUUCAGUACCUGCAUGGGCAUCCUCCAGGCACUGGGGCUAGAAGGGCAUGCUCAGUGGCAACAUUGCCCAGACUCAAGGUCUCCAGUUUCCCAAGGGACCCCGUGCAACGUGGCUCCCGCCCGAGUGAUCACCGCCACAUCCAAGCAGGACGGGGCCAGCGAUGGGAGACCGGUCGUGUCGUCCUCAGCUCAGCGAACCCCACGGAACCUGAGUGUCUGGUGUCUGAUCAGGAUACGUCCAGCCCUCGGCCUGAGAUCCUCCGAAGAAAGCUUCCGAAGCUUCCCCUCCACAGGCAGAGCUCGCAGCCUCGGGAUUCCCAGCCCCCCAGGGCCCAGGGCAGCAGGCGUCCCCCGGGUGCCAGACGACGUUGGAAAUCCUGCUCUUCCAGCCUUAAUGGAAAGCACGUUGACCCAUAGUGGGGGAGCAGCAGCCGCGGAGCCGGCCAGCGACCCCCAGCCCCGGCCCUGGCUCUGGGGGCUCGGGGAGGGGGGUCCCGCCACCAGCCAGGCCUGGGCCACUGGGGCCCACGCUGUCCCCCACCCACAGGCCUCUGAGCAGCAGGCUGGACUAGGUCUGCGGCCUAAGCUGCCAGUGGCUCUCCGGGCCUCAGGAGGUCAAAGCCCCGGAGACGGGCUUCACGCGUGUCUCCGAAGAGCCCCUCGCAGCCUGUCAGCUGCCUUUCUGGAGAAAAGCACAGCCCCCCUUCCCCGUGGUGGGCAGAACAACGCCCCCUCGAAGAUGCUUGGAAUGUGGGGCUCUGUGGGUGGGACCAGGGACGGCAGGGGGCAGCCGGUUCUGGAGCACCGGGGCGGGGGCAGUGUCACCACAGGGCAGGAGAAGGGAGGCAGGAGGUCAGAGUCCAGGAGGCUGGGAGAGCGGCGGAGGUCAGAGCCGCACCACCAGCCUGAGGGGUGGGGAAGAGGCCCCGGGAGCCCCCAGGAGGAGCCGCCUGCA
rnacentral:lncRNA from 12 species